rnacentral:rRNA from 1 species
GACGAACGCUGGCGGCGUGCUUAACACAUGCAAGUCGAGCGGUAAGGCCCUUUCGGGGGUACGACGAGCGGCGAACGGGUGAGUAACACGUGGGUGGACCUCGCCCUCCAGCUCUGGGAGUAAGCCCGGGAAACCGUGGGUCUAAUACCGGAUAUGACUUCAUGACGCAUGUUGUGGAGUGGAAAGCCUUGUGCGGCUGAGGAUGGGCCC